CCUACGGGCGGCAGCAGUAGGGAAUAUUGCUCAAUGGGGGAAACCCUGAAGCAGCAACGUCGCGUGGAGGAUGAAGGCUCUCGGAGUGUUAACCCCCUUUGUUAGAGAAGAAAAUGACGGUAUCUAACGAAUAAGCACCGGCUAACUCCGUGCCAGCAGCCGCGGUAAUACGGAGGGUGCAAGCGUUAAUCGGAAUCACUGGGCGGAAAGAGCGCGUAGGCGGGAUAGCAAGUCAGAUGUGAAAUCCUAGGGCUUAACCAGAGAACUGCAUUUGAAACUGGUAUUCUAGAGUAUGGGAGAGGUAGGUGGAAUGCGUGGUGUAGGGGUAAAAUCCGUAGAGAUCAAGAAGAAUACUGAUUGCGAAGGCGACCUGCUAGAACAUAACUGACGCUGAUGCGCGAAAGCGUGGGGAGCAAACAGGAUUAGAUACCCCAGUAGUC
rnacentral:rRNA from 1 species